rnacentral:lncRNA from 8 species
UCAUAACAGGUGUAUCUGGCUUGAAGGACCAUGAAAAAACUAUUGGCUGGGAUAGCCCGUUAGCAAAGUUAAUAAAAGCAGUAGGUUUUGAAGUCUAAUAUAUAUUCACUUUUCCAUGCCAUGCGUUCUAAAGGUCUCUCUAACUGUGUUAUGUUGACUAUUAGAUAGAUCGUCAGCGGCAAUACCUCCAUCGGGUGUGGAGAGGAGGUCAGGGACAGGGAGCUACUCCUCGUGACUAUGGUCUUCCUCCUAACUAUGUGGCCAAACAUCUGGUGUCCCUCGGUGGUGGCAGGCAAGUCCUAGUUCUACCCAUGAAUUGUAGACUGAUUACAGUGUAAUGUGGUAUCACCUCAAAACAGACUAACAUGUUAAACAGUAUAAAUAUAUAGCUAAUAUAAAAAUGUGUGCGCACACCCCUGCCUGUCUGUCCUCUUGCUACCAGUCCUGCCCUGAUGAAUGUGUUCCUUCUGGAGGUGCAUCACUCCCUAAGCCUGGCCUCUGAAGUGUACCAGGCCCUGACCCAGGCUCACACUGACCUCUGCCAGCUCCACCGUGCCAGGGGGGUAACUGAGAGAGUCACCCUGGAACAGAGACUCCUACAGCGGGCUCUGCAGCACUGGCACUCCCUGGAUCGUCCCGGGGCCUACUAUAGCUCUCAAACUCAAAAGGAUUUGUUUUCAGAUGUUUUCAUGGAGGACCCCUCCUUGGUCCGAGCGGUGGGGGUCUCUCUGAUCAGGUCGGCUGAGGAGCAGGACAUGAAGCAGGGGAAGGAGAAACAGUUCUUUGCUGUGGAAACCUUCUCCAAGCUGCUGGAGUUAGUCACCAUCCGCCAUCGCCUCAUGGAGUCAGCAGCAGAGACUGCACAUCUGGCACAGUUGAGUUGAUUCUUCCUAUAUUGAUUGUAGUUAGUUACUUAUUUCAGGGGUAUGUACUGCAGGGGGUCUGCGAUUUUUGUAUAUUUUUUUAAAUUUUAAAUUGUAUUAUUAUUAUUUUAUGAAUAUUGCUAGCUGCAGCAGAAUACCAUCGUGGAUACCAUUUUUAUGUCUCCGCGUCCAGUAUGAAGGAAGUUAGAGGUAGUUUCAUGAGCCAAUGCUUACUAGCUUUAGCGCAAUGACUGGAAGUCUACAGGAACAGUUAGCAUGCUAGCUAUUCUUGUUCAUCCGACUUUGGGGAAGUAGAUAAAGGGAUUCAUUGCCAAAAUCUCAAACUAUCCCUUUAAAACCUCUCUAGGACAUAUGAGACGGUAGCGUCCCACCUCGCCAACAGCCAGUGAAAUAGCAGAGCGCCAUAUUCAAAACAACAAGAAUCUCAUAAUUCAAAUUUCUCACACAUACAAGUAUUAUACACCAUUUUAAAGAUAAUCUUCUCGUUAAUCCAACCACAUUGUCUGAUUUCAAAAAGGCUAUAUGGCGAAAGCAUAGCAUUAGAUUAUGUUAGGACAGCACCUAGACAAGAAAAACCACACAGACAUUUUCCAAGCAAGGAGAGGCGUCACAAAAACCAGAAAUACAGCUAAGAUUAAUCACUAACCUUUGAUGAUCUUCAUCAGAUGGCACUCAUAAGACUUCAUGUUACAAAAUACAUGUAUGUUUUGCUCGAUAAAGUUCAUAUUUAUAUCCAAAAACCCCAUUUUGCAUUAGCAUGUAAUGUUCAGAAAUGUUUUGCCUCCAAAACUUCCGGUGAAUGAGCACAUCAAUUUACAGAAAUACUCAUCAUAAACUUUGAUAAAAGAUACAAGUGUUAUGCACAGAAUUAUAGAUAAACUUCUCCUUAAUGGAACCGCUGUGUCAGAUUUCAAAAAAGCUUUACGACGAAAGCAAACUUUGCAAUAAUUUGAGUACAGCGCUCAGAUUUCAAAACAAGCCAUACAGAUACCCGCCAUUUUGGAGUCAACAGAAGUCACAAAUAACAUUAUAAAUAUUCACUUACCUUUGAUGAUCUUCAUCAGAAUGCACUCCCAGGAAUCCCAGUUCCACAAUAAAUGUUUGUUUUGUUCGAUAAAGUUCAUAUUUAUGUCCAAAUACCUCCAUUUUGUUUGCGCGUUUAGUCCAGCACUCCAAAUUCACUAAGCGCGUGAGUUUAGUCCAGACGAAAAGUCAAAAUAGUUCCAUUACAGUUUGUAGAAACAUGUCAAACGAUGUAUAGAAUCAAUCUUUAGAAUGUUUUUAUCAUAAAUCUGCAAUAAUAUUCCAACCGGACAAUUCCAUUGUCUUUAGAAUUGAAAGGAAAGGCAGCUCGCUCUCACGGCCGCACGCAUGUUUGACAGUUGAAUAAGAUGAGAAAAAAUAAGAAACACGCGUACUGCUCUUGUUGUAUCGCUGCUCUUUAAUAAGCUUUACGUAUCGGCUUCAAGGCCAGAAAGCAUGCAGAAAAGAUAUUGAACUAUAUAUAUACACUACCAUUCAAAAGUUUGGGGUCACUUAGAAAUGUCCUUGUUUUCCAUGAAAACAUACAUGAAAUGAGUUGCAAAAUGAAUAAGAAAUAUAGUCAAGACGUUGACAAGGUUAUAAAUAAUGAUUUUUAAUUGAAAUAAUAAUUGUGUCCUUCAAACUUAGCUUUCGUCAAAGAAUCGUCCAUUUGCAGCAAUUACAGCCUUGCAGACCUUUGGCAUUCUAGUUGUCAAUUUGUUGAGGUAAUCUGAAGAGAUUUCACCCCAUGCUUCCUGAAGCACAUGCCACAAGUUGGAUUGGCUUGAUGGUCACUUCUUACAUACCAUACGGUCAAGCUGCUCCCACAACAGCUCAAUAGGGUUGAGAUCCAAUGACUGUGCUGGCCGCUCCAUUAUAGACAGAAUACCAGCUGACUGCUUCUUCCCUAAAUAGUUCUUGCAUAUUUUGGAGCUGUGCUUUGGGUCAUUGUCUUGUUGUAGGAGGAAAUGGGCUCCAAUUAAGCUCCGUCCACAGGGUAUGGCAUGGCGUUGCAAAAUGGAGUGAUAGCCUUCCUUCUUCAAGAUCCCCUUUACCCUGUACAAAUCUCCCACUUUACCAGCACCAAAGCACCCCCAGACCAUCACAUUGCCUCCACCAUGCUUGACAGAUGGCGUCAAGCUCUUCUCCAGUGUCUUUUCAUUUUUUCUGCGUCUCACGAAGUUCUUCUUUGUGAUCCGAACACCUCAAACUUAGAUCCGUCUGUCCAUAACACUUUUUUCCAAUCUUCCUCUGCCCAGUGUCUGUGAUCUUAAUCUUUUAUUUUUAUUGGCCAGUCUGAGAUAUUGCUUUUUCUUUGCAACUCUGCCUAGAAGGCCAGCAUCCUGGAGUCUCCUCUUCACUGUUGACGUUGAGACUGGUGUUUUGCUGGUAAUAUUUAAUGAAGCUGCCAGUUGAGGACUUGUGUACUUGUCCUCUUGCUCAGUUGUGCACCGGGGCCUCCCACUCCUCUUUCUAUUCGGGUUAGAAACAGUUUGCGCUGUUCUGUGAAGGGAGUAGCACUGUAUACAGCAUUGUACGAGAUCUUCAGUUUCUUGGCAAUUUCUCGCAUGGAAUUUCUCAGAACAAGAAUAGACUGACGAGUUUCAGAAGAAAGUUCUUUGUUUCUGGCCAUUUUGAGCCUGUAAUCAAACCCACAAAUGCUGAUGCUCCAGAUACUCAACUAGUCUAAAGAAGGCCAGUUUUAUUGCUUCUUUAAUCAGUACAACAGUUUUCAGCUGUGCUAACAUAAUUGCAAAAGGGUUUUCUAAUGAUCAAUUAGCCUUUUAAAAUUAUCAACUUGGAUUAGCUAACACAACGUGCCAUUGGAACACAUGUGUGAUGGUUGCUGAUAAUGGGCCUCUGUACGCCUAUGUAGAUAUUCCAUUCAAAAUCUGCCGUUUCCAGCUACAAUAGUCAUUUACAACAUUAACAAUGUCCACACUGUAUUUCUGAUCAAUUUGAUGUUAUUUUAAUGGACAAAAAAUGCUUUUCUUUCAAAAACAAGGGCAUUUCUAAGUGAACCCAAACCUUUGAACGGUUGUGUAUAUAUUAAAUGAUACCAUCUUUGAGAACUAACAACCAAAGAAAAGCUAGACAGUCAGGGAGAAUAACAUAAAAAAACGGCAUUCAAUCCACAUGCCCACUGAUUUUGUUAUAACGUUUGAGCAGAGGAAGCCAUGGCAAAAUGCAUAUAAUUGCAGGAAAUUUGAUUUGAAACUACAUUACGCUGAGAUUGUCAUCACUGUAUUUGCAGGCUUUGAGGUAAAUGUUACUAAAUGUGUUUAUGGUAUAAAACAUGAAAUGUCCAUUCUGUAGUGUUCAUAUUAUGGUCUGGCUCUCCUAGGUUAUACAAAACACAAGCUCUGGAGCUGGGCUUUGAUGAGUUCCACCUGUAUGUGCGUCCGGAGCAGUUUGAGUUUGCUGUCCAGAGAGACAAGGCAGAGCAUAGACCUCUGUUUGUUACGGCACUGCUGCAGGACGACAGCUGGAUGGACAGGUACCCUCCUUACCCUGUUACUCUGCUAACAUAGAUAGAUGUGCAGCGACCUUCUUUUUCUUUCUUAGUAAAUUGUAUGAUAUCUACAGUAGACCUUGAAAAAUAAGGAAACUAUUAACAAUUCACUUUUUUGAUGAUGUAGCGCUAAUGCUUAAAAUAACCAUAAAAAAUCUUCUUCUCGUGGACUAAAAGUCAUAUUCACUCCACAUUUGGUCUUUGGACUCGUCACAAUAAUAACCCCUAAAGAGUUUGAGAAAAUAAUGUUGAUGCAUUCAAAUGACUACACUAUACCACACUAUACGCUAAUUUGCUAAAAUAUGCAAAACAUACUUC